rnacentral:rRNA from 1 species
UGGGGAAUUUUGCACAAUGGGGGAAACCCUGAUGCAGCGACGCCGCGUGAUUUAGAAGGCCUUCGGGUUGUAAAAAUCUUUUCUAUGGGAAGAAAAUGACAGUACCAUAGGAAUAAGGACCGGCUAAUUACGUGCCAGCAGCCGCGGUAAUACGUAAGGUCCGAGCGUUGUCCGGAAUCAUUGGGCGUAAAGGGUACGUAGGCGGGUAAGCAAGUUAGAAGUGAAAUCCUGUAGCUCAACUACAGUAAGCUUUUAAAACUGCUCAUCUUGAGAUAUGGAAGGGAAAGUGGAAUUCCUAGUGUAGCGGUGAAAUGCGCAGAUAUUAGGAGGAAUACCGGUGGCGAAGGCGACUUUCUGGCCAUAAUCUGACGCUGAGGUAUGAAAGCGUGGGUAGCAAACAGG